rnacentral:rRNA from 1 species
AUUGAACGCUGGCGGCAGGCCUAACACAUGCAAGUCGCGCGAGCGGCGGACGGGUGAGUAAUGUAUAGGGCCUGCCCGAUCGAGGGGGAGAACUACUGGACACGGUUGCUAAUACCGCCUACUGUAGGAUAACCCAUAUGGGAUUAGCUAGUCGGUAAGGUAAUGGCUUACCUAGUCGACGAUCCCUAGCUGGUCUGAGAGGCUGAUUAGCCAAACUGGGACUGAGACACGGCCCAGACUCCUACGGAGGCAGCAGUGGGGAAGAUUGCACAAUGGGCGCAAGCCUGAUGCAGCCAUGCCGCGUGUAUGAAGAAGGCCUUAGGGUUGUAAAGUACUUUCAGUCGGGAGGCGUUACCGACAGAAGAAGCACCGGCUAACUCCGUGCCAGCAGCCGCGGUAAUUC